rnacentral:rRNA from 1 species
MCUCCUACGGGAGGCAGCAGUGGGGAAUCUUGCACAAUGGGGGCAACCCUGAUGCAGCGACSCCSCGUGAGCGAUGAAGCCCUUCGGGGUGUAAAGCUCUUUCGACGGGAACGAUAAUGACGGUACCCGGAGAAGAAGCUGCGGCUAACUACGUGCCAGCMGCCGCGGUAAUACGUAGGCMGCGAGCGUUGUUCGGAAUUACUGGGCGUAAAGAGUGUGUAGGCGGUGCUCCAAGUCUGUUGUGAAAUCUCCCGGCUUAACUGGGAGGGUGCAGCGGAAACUGGAAUGCUUGAGGGUGGGAGAGGAAAGCGGAAUUCCUGGUGUAGCGGUGAAAUGCGUAGAUAUCAGGAGGAACACCUGCGGUGUAGACAGCUUUCUGGACCACUUCUGACGCUGAGACACGAAAGCGUGGGUAGCAAACAGGAUUAGAUACCCUGGUAGUCCACGCCGUAAACGUUGGGCACUAGGUGUGGGKYUCUAYCRACGGRWUCCGYGCCGAMGCUAACGCAUUAAGUGCCCCGCCUGGGGAGUACGGCCGCAAGGCUAAAACUCAAAUGAAUUGACGGA